UACCAGCACCCCGAGUGGUCGGGACGAUUAUUGGGCCUAAAGCAUCCGUAGCCGGCCUUACAAGUCCUCCGUUAAAUCCAGCUGCUUAACAGAUGGGCUGCGGAGGAUACUAUAAAACUAGGAGGCAGGAGAGGCAAGCGGUACUCAGUGGGUAGGGGUAAAAUCCGUUGAUCCAUUGAAGACCACCAGUGGCGAAGGCGGCUUGCCAGAAUGCGCUCGACGGUGAGGGAUGAAAGCUGGGGGAGCAAACCGG
rnacentral:rRNA from 1 species